CCCUGAAACCUCUCACCAUGAAUCAGAACUCAACCAUUAAAUUUAUCUAAAUACCUAAUAGAAACUCGAUUAACUUUCUACAUAUGUGAAUUAACCUUCUACGUCUGUGAAUUUAGUGCUUAUAUGGUUUGAUUUUCUAAACAAAAUCGGUGUGAUCUCUCAGUUAGGGUUUGAGUUUGUUCAUCAGGUACAGUUCGAUCUCUCAGUUAGGGUUUGAGUUAGUUCAUCAGUUUGAUCUUCAACAUCUUAAGUUGCAGGAAGAUCUUCACAGGCGAAGAUAAGAGAGUUGAACAAAACUGAGCAGUAUAGAGAGGAAACCAAUUUGGACAAA